rnacentral:rRNA from 1 species
UACAGAGGGUGCAAGCGUUGUUCGGAAUUAUUGGGCGUAAAGGGCGCGUAGGCGGUGCCACAAGUCACCUGUGAAAUCUCCGGGCUUAACUCGGAGCCUGCAGGCGAAACUGUGGUGCUGGAGUGUGGGAGAGGUGCGUGGAAUUCCCGGUGUAGCGGUGAAAUGCGUAGAUACCCGGAGGAACACCAGUGUCGAAGGCGGCUUCCUGGUCUGCGACUGACGCUGUGGCGCGAAAGCUAGGGGAGCAAACGGG